rnacentral:siRNA from 1 species
UCUUGUGCGACGAGAUGGU